CCCCUCCCGUGCCUCCGAGCUUCCCCCGCCGGCCCGCGGCAGCGGCGACCUACAAGCAAAGGGCAAGGGCGAGGCGACGGCAGAGAGAGAGAAGAUGAGAGGGAGAAGAAGGAAGGAGAGGAGGGAGAAAGAGAGAGAGGAAAGAGGAGAAGGAGGCGCGGCGUCGGAUGGGAGAGGGUCACCGCCGGUCGAGGCCUGCGCGUGGCGGUUCGAUGUGAUCCUUGCCCCUUCUCUUCCUCGUCCCGCCGGCCUCAUUCUCUGUUACUCUCCCGUUGGCCGUGGCGCCAGGUCGCGGCGGAGGAUCUGGAGCUGAGCCCACGCAGUUGAGGUUGAGGAAGACGGAGGUGAGGGAAGCAGCAACAAGACUGCUGGAUGGUGACGGGUCAGCGGCCACGAGAGGAGGGGGAAGGGGGACGACGUCAUGCUUUCUCGCCACCUGCACGUCUUCGUCCCACAGUCCGCUGCUCCUUGUCUGCGCCGUUUCAACUCCAGCUGCAACAAUGCGUCUCCAUGAUCCUUCCCCUCCUCCGGCUUCUCUCCUUCCAUAGCUACUUAUGCUGCAAUAGUUUCAGUGCAAGUAUAGUCAGGACAGGGAGGCAGAAGAGAGGACAUGCUGAAGAAUGAAGGUGGACAAACCAGGUGCACAUGAACAGCAAGGCAUGUUUGGCGUCGUACUUGACCGUGCUACAGAACAACAUCUUGUGGUUCUACCCAAGGGUUGACGCCGAGCACCGGGGCGUACUGCAGGAGUAGCGCCCUGCGUCCUUUGUCAACGUCCAUAGCAUCAAGGACCUCCUCACGCCCCUGUGCAGAUGGCGCUCGCUCGUGAUCACAGGAAACCGAACGACGCAUGUGCCCGUUGUCUGUCAGCGCCGACAAGGUUGGUUCUAUGUUAAGGCCCUGCGUCCUCACGUAAGAGGGCAUGAUUCAUAAGCAAACAAAUACUACAUCAAAGUGCUGCAGGACCAAAUUGAGUGCCGAUGUUCUGUUUUCCUGCGGUUGUCGCCACUGUACUUUGUUCCUUGCAUGAACAAAAGAGGAUUAAUGAAACAACAUUCGCGCUGAAGAAGAAAAAGGAUAUGUUGCCCAUCAAUUCUAUCAUACUCAAGAAUCGCCAUUCAUUUUGUGAGGUUAAAGGGAUUGUCCGCUUCCUUCCUUGCAUGAUAACCACAUCAAUGGAUUGGUGUUGAACAUAACAAGAAAACCAUCUUUGGUAUGCUUUGAUGGGGCUUAUUUAAUAUAGUUCAAGGAAAAUUGGAAGUAGUGGCAAACCAGCCAUGAAAAGUUUGAGAGGGCUAUGCAACCACAAGAAAUGAUGUGCUCCUGUCAUUUUGCCAUGAUCUUGUGGCCCCAUUCCAAGACUAGAUUAAUGU